CCUACGGGGGGCAGCAGUGAGGAAUAUUGGUCAAUGGGCGCUAGCCUGAACCAGCCAAGUAGCGUGAAGGAUGACUGCCCUAUGGGUUGUAAACUUCUUUUAUAUGGGAAUAAAGUGCAGUAUGUAUACUGCUUUGCAUGUACCUUAUGAAUAAGGAUCGGCUAACUCCGUGCCAGCAGCCGCGGUAAUACGGAGGAUCCGAGCGUUAUCCGGAUUUAUUGGGUUUAAAGGGAGCGUAGGCGGGUUGUUAAGUCAGUUGUGAAGGUUCGCGGCUCAACCGUAAAAUUGCAGUUGAUACUGGCAUCCUUGAGUACAGUAGAGGUAGGCGGAAUUCGUGGUGUAGCGGUGAAAUGCUUAGAGAUCACGAAGAACUCCGAUUGCGAAGGCAGCCUGCUGGACUGUAACUGACGCUGAUGCUCGAAAGUGUGGGUAGCAAACAGGAUUAGAUACCCGGGUAGUC
rnacentral:rRNA from 1 species